rnacentral:rRNA from 1 species
AGAGUUUGAUCCUGGCUCAGGAUUAACGCUAGCGGCAGGCCUAAUACAUGCAAGUCGAACGGGAUUUCGGGUAGCAAUAUCUGAAUGAGAGUGGCGCACGGGUGCGUAACACGUAUGCAACCUACCUAUGACUGGGGGAUAGCCUUCCGAAAGGAAGAUUAAUACCGCAUAAAGAUCAGGAGAAGCAUUUCUUCAGGUCCAAACCUCAGGGGGUCAUAGAUGGGCAUGCGUCCGAUUAGCUAGUUGGUGAGGUAACGGCUCACCAAGGCUACGAUCGGUAGGGGGUCUGAGAGGAUGAUCCCCCACACUGGUACUGAGACACGGACCAGACUCCUACGGGAGGCAGCAGUAAGGAAUAUUGGUCAAUGGAGGCAACUCUGAACCAGCCAUGCCGCGUGCAGGAAGACAGCCCUAUGGGUCGUAAACUGCUUUUAUUGGGGAAUAACCUCCUGUAUGUAUACAGGACUGAAUGUACCCAAGGAAUAAGGAUCGGCUAACUCCGUGCCAGCCGCCGCGGUAAUAC